UUGCCUAUGAGGAUUAAAAUUUAAAUGUUGGAAUUACCGACUGAUUUAUUUUGAUGAAAAAUGGCUAUCUGAGGCUUAGU